UUGAGAUUCUUUUGUGUUGAAGCUUCAUGAAUCAGCCUGUCUGCUACAGCCUGGGACAAGCACAUCCUCCAAACACAGUUUAUACAGAGUAUAAACCAAAGAAAACACAAGAGACAAGAAAGACACAGACUCAUGGGUACCUUAGAGGAUGCUUGGACUAAGAACUGAAAAUCCCAGGUACUCCUGCUGCUCUGAGCCAGUUGAACCUUUGAGCUGUCUUGGGGCAUGACUGUAACUUCCUUAUGAUCCAAACAUGAUUUUCCUAAUUGCCAACUCUGCCAUGUCACCCUGAGACCUGAAAACAUAUUUGCCACCUCUCUGCUAGUAAGAACUUCAGCAGUGAUAUGAGUUCCACUGCUCAGACCUUUCUUGGGAUCUGCUGACUUGAGGCCCAAGACAGAUCUGCUCGCUCUUCUGUGGCUGCUUUGGAUGUUGACACACCAACAGAUUGAGCCACAGGAGACCUAAGUAGUCCUCCUACAAUUUGGCACACUGUUUUCACUAUGGUGAGUACAAGGCUACUAUUUUCACAUGGCUGUUUUGUUACAUUUUAAACCAAAAACAUCUUUUUACGGGGAACAGGAAGAACGUACAACAGGUCUUCGGUUGCUGAAAAGUUUUACUAAAUUCAACAAGGUUCCACUAGCCUGCUCAAGCUGAGAAAUCAUCUCACAAGCCAAGGGAACCAUCACCAGGAAGCAAUACAUGAGACUGACCUUUUUUAGGUUCAAACUUCCAAACACUGUGUGUGCAAUCUUAGUGGAAGUGAGUCAUUCUUCCAACACUCACAGAGCUCCAACAUGCUCCAAGACACAUAAUGAACUUGUCCAGGCUCAGAACAUUUGACACUGAAUCUGUCACGGAUCAGAUUACUUCACUGUCCUACUUCUGAAAACAUGGGGACCUUAUCUUAGCAUUCUUAUGUGCCCGUCUUGAAGAAGAUAGCCAGGGCUGUCAGCGUGCAGAGGUGAUGGGUGAUGCUCUGCUAAGGGGAUAGCACUUCCUGAGAAAGAAUUCUUGGGAUCCAAAGAUGUAGACAACCUAGACACAUGUUGCUUGUAAUUGCCAGCAAAACCAGA